UACGGAGGGUGCAAGCGUUAAUCGGAAUUACUGGGCGUAAAGCGCACGCAGGUGGUGAAUUAAGUCAGAUGUGAAAGCGCCGAGCUUAACUUGGGAAUUGCAUCUGAAACUGGUUAGCUAGAGUAUUGUAGAGGGGGGUGGAAUUCCAUGUGUAGCGGUGAAAUGCGUAGAGAUGUGGAGGAAUACCGGUGGCGAAGGCGGCCUCCUGGACAAAGACUGACGCUCAGGUGCGAAAGCGUGGGGAGCAAAUAGG
rnacentral:rRNA from 1 species